rnacentral:antisense_RNA from 1 species
CUUAAUAGCAAAAAGGGGCAGUUAAAGCUGCCCCUUUUUGCUGACUUU